UACGUGCCAGCAGCCGCGGUAAUACGUAGGUGGCAAGCGUGUCCGGAUUUAUUGGGCGUAAAGGGAGCGCAGGCGGUGACUUAAGUCUGAUGUGAAAGCCACGGCUCAACCGUGGAAGGUCAUUGGAAACUGGGUCACUUGAAUGCAGAAGAGGAAAGUGAAUUCCAUGUGUAGCGGUGAAAUGCGUAGAUAUAUGGAGGAACACCAGUGGCGAAGGCGCUUUCUGGUCUGUUAUUGACGCUGAGGCUCGAAAGCAUGGGUAGCGAACAGGAUUAGAUACCUGGUAGUCCAUGCCGUAAACGAUGAGUGCUAGGUGUUGGGGGGCUUCCACCCCUCGGUCCGCCGUUAACGCAUUAAGCACUCCGCCUGGGGAUUACGGCCGCAAGGCUUAAACUCAAAGAAUUGACGGGGACCCGCACAAGCGGUGGAGCAUGUGGUUUAAUUCGAAGCAACGCGAAGACCUUACCAGCUCUUGACAUCUUCUGCCAACCCUAGAGAUAGGGUGUUCCCUUCGGGGACGAAUGACAGGUGGUGCAUGGUUGUCGUCAGCUCGUGUCGUGAGAUGUUGGGUUAAGUCCCUAACGAGCGCAACCCUUGUUGUCAGUUGCCAGCAUUUAGUUGGGCACUCUGGCGAGACUGCGGUGACAAACCGGAGGAAGGUGGGGAUGACGUCAAAUCAGCAUGCCCCUUAUGAGCUGGCUACACACGUGCUACAAUGGAUGGUACAGCGAGUCGCGAGACUGCGAAGUUUAGCUAAUCCCUAAAGCCAUUCUCAGUCCGGAUUGCAGGCUGCAACUCGCCUGCAUGAAGCCGGAAUCGUAGUAAUCGUGGAUCAGCAUGCCACGGUGAAUACGUUCCCGGGUCUUGUACACACCGCCCU
rnacentral:rRNA from 1 species